CUUGUGGAGAUAAUUACCAUCAAUUAUUAGUACCUACAUUGAAUUCCAAAUAUCGAAAUGCAAAUGCUAAUUUUGCAGAAUCAUUAAAGUUUGCUCAUAAAAACAGAAGAAAGCAGGCGGUAGUGAGAGGAAGUAGUGGUGGGGAAAGGCGUAGUUUCUUGACACUAGAAGAAGCUGGCCUUGUCGAAGUGUCUGGCCUCAGCACUCACGAACGUUUUCUAUGUCGAUUGACGAUUUCGUCACUGAAUUUAUUAAGAGUGAUAGCAGAGCAAGAAGGUUGUUCAAUUGAGGAAUUGAAUGCUGGUAGGAUAUGUGAUUGGUUCUUGAAAGAUAAGCUAAAGAGAGAACAGAAUUUGGAUUCUGCUGUCCUUCAAUGGGAUGAAUCCGACUUCCAGCUAUAAUUCCAGCCUCUGAAUAGUAGCUGACUCAGUUCUUCUCAUAUUGAAAGGAAUAAAAGAGGAAAAAUCAACAAAACAUCAACUUUUUCCUACUAAUACUCCAUAUCUUCUUUAUUUCCUAGGAAUGCGACCUUUCUCGGGACCCUACAUAAAUACGAGAUAUUUUAGCUUUGGGAUGUCACUGAAAUCUAUCAUUAGAUAGAUUAAUUUUGUUGUUUGCUUCUGUUAUCUUAAUACCUUGUUGUUAUUGUU